rnacentral:rRNA from 1 species
GAUGAACGCUAGCGGCGUGCUUAACACAUGCAAGUCGAACGUUGAAAGAGAGCUUGCUCUCUGGAUCAGUGGCGAACGGGUGAGUAACACGUGAGCAAUCUGCCCUUGACUCUGGGAUAAGCGCUGGAAACGGCGUCUAAUACCGGAUACGAGCUGCGAAGGCAUCUUCAGCAGCUGGAAAGAACUUCGGUCAAGGAUGAGCUCGCGGCCUAUCAGCUAGUUGGUGAGGUAACGGCUCACCAAGGCGUCGACGGGUAGCCGGCCUGAGAGGGGGACCGGCCACACUGGGACUGAGACACGGCCCAGACUCCUACGGGAGGCAGCAGUGGGGAAUAUUGCACAAUGGGCGCAAGCCUGAUGCAGCAACGCCGCGUGAGGGACGACGGCCUUCGGGUUGUAAACCUCUUUUAGCAGGGAAGAAGCGAAAGUGACGGUACCUGCAGAAAAAGCACCGGCUAACUACGUGCCAGCAGCCGCCGUAAGAC